AAAGUAGUUUCACAAACUGUUUCUCUUAGUCCACUGAAUCUUGAAUUUAUAGGAGACUUCAAAAGAGGAUAUUCUCUCGGCUGCAAUCUUUCGCUUUUGCUUUUUUCCUUGUUGCGGUUUCGAGUGUCAGAUUCGCUUAGGAUCACGACCUUAUUAUUAUUAUUAUAUGUUUAUCUUUUAUAUUCUUUCAUUUAUCGAGAUCUGGCUAUUCGUGUUUGUGUUGUUUGCAUUCGGAGAGAAUUUUUGAAUCUGAAACUCUUGAGAUUCAAUACGCACUGUCUGCUUACCUGUUUACACAGGUUUGAUUUGGGAGUUAUUUUGGUAAUGUGAAGCUCGCCUAUGGUUCCUGUUUCUUAUAUUUAUCUUCAAUUAGAGAAAUUAUUGUUUAAAUUCUUCGGCAUGGUGGUUUAAUUUCCUUUGUAAACAAUUUUGGACUCUAUUAUAUAAGAAUCACGGUUAAGAGUUGUUGUACAAAUAUUUGCUUUUAGAUAAACUCAAUUGAAUUGUAAACAAACUUUUCGAUACAAA